rnacentral:piRNA from 1 species
UAGGUCUUGUCCACAAUUCUGGUAGCUUUG